rnacentral:rRNA from 1 species
UACGAAGGGGGCUAGCGUUGUUCGGAUUUACUGGGCGUAAAGCGCACGUAGGCGGAUCGUUAAGUCGGGGGUGAAAUCCUGGAGCUCAACUCCAGAACUGCCUUCGAUACUGGCGAUCUUGAGUCCGGAAGAGGUGAGUGGAACUCCGAGUGUAGAGGUGAAAUUCGUAGAUAUUCGGAAGAACACCAGUGGCGAAGGCGACUUACUGGACACAUAUUGACGCUGAGGUGCGAAAGCGUGGGGAGCAAACAGG